CCUACGGGUGGCAGCAGUGGGGAAUAUUGGGCAAUGGAGGCAACUCUGACCCAGCAACGCCGCGUGAAUGAUGAAGGUCUUCGGAUUGUAAAGUUCUUUUCUCAGGGAAGAAGAAAGUGACGGUACCUUAGGAAUAAGCCUCGGCUAACUACGUGCCAGCAGCCGCGGUAAUACGUAGGAGGCAAGCGUUAUUCGGAAUGACUGGGCGUAAAGGGGGCGUAGGUGGUUUGACAAGUUAGGGGCGAAACGCCGGGGCUCAACCCCGGAACUACUACUAAAACUGUGGGACUUGAGUGCAGGAGUGGGAAUCGGAAUUCCUAGUGUAGCGGUGGAAUGCGUAGAUAUCAGGAGGAACACCAGUGGCGAAGGCGGAUUGCUAGACUGUAACUGACACUGAGGCACGAAAGCGUGGGGAGCAAACAGGAUUAGAUACCCUUGUAGUC
rnacentral:rRNA from 1 species